rnacentral:rRNA from 1 species
GCCACGACCAGCCCCAACCGCGACAUCCGGUGGCGACGACCCGGUCCAUGGCGGCGUGCUAGGGGCUGGAUCUCGACGGGGCGGCGGCCGUCCAUGACGCAGCGACGCGGGGUCAUGCUCCUCCUGGAGAUCAGCCCGGCCGGCAGCGCCGCCAAACCUCCCCUAACCCCGGAUCCACACCGCCCCCGGCGGGAAUCAGCUGGAAGCAGUACGAGUCGAUCCGCUCCAUCCAUGGAUCUGGCAUCUCCUGCCUCACAUCCGGCCGCUAUGGGGGCCGCCGCUCCUCCCAGUGGACUUGAACGCUUCCUGCAGUCCAUGGCGGCGGGUGACGGACCUCCCCAAGCUGCACAGGAUCCGGGCGCCUCCAUGUUCCACAUGCGAGCGCCACACCUCCCCGUCUCCCAUGCUCCUCCCCGCCUUGAACCACCAUCGCCUAACCGCAUCUCCUCCUCGGCACCGGAUCCAGUGGGAUCCACCUACAGCACCGUCGCGGCCUUCUCCGUUCCCCUACCUCCCGUAGAGACGCCGGAUCUGCGAGCCAACGCCAUGUCCCACGCCGUCCCGGAGCUCAACCGCCAUGGAUUCGUGUAUGAUUUGUAUAUACAUGUUUGUAUAUAUGUAUGAUCUGUAUGUAUAUUUACGGGAUGCAGUAGGGACGACGGCGCCAUGCAGUUCUUUAAACCUUCUAUUGCAGUACGGCGAUGCCCUCCGUGUUCCCCAUCUCCACUUCUAGUCUAGUCACCGGAUGCGUGAAGAACAUCUCUUCACUCCGUGCAGUCCUUUCCGCCGACGAGAGUCGUCGUGCCUUUUUUGCACAUUGUUUCGCCUCUACCUGUAGUGCUCUAUUUGUUUUCGUGUAAAAAGAAGUCACCCUCGGGCUGCACUACAGUCCGAUGGCGGGGCGCGUGCAGUGCUUUGUUGCUUUGGUGGGAGAAAAGUGAGUCCUAGUGUCGCAUCUACCUCUUUUGGUGAUCCAGCUAUGCCCACAUGCACGCACAACCCAGAAAAAAAAGGAGUGAC